rfam:Lactobacillus senioris DSM 24302 = JCM 17472 strain DSM 24302 NODE_25, whole genome shotgun sequence.
GCGGAAAUAGCUCAGUGGUAGAGCACCACCUUGCCAUGGUGGGGGUCGCGGGUUCGAAUCCCGUUUUCCGCU